AGCAAUGGCUCGAUGGAGUUCACCAGGGAGGAUCUUGCUCUGAUCUAAAUAUACAGUGGAAAUCUGAUGUGAUCUAGGCUGCUGCACCUCAUCUACUAAAACCAAAUCCUGGAAAAGAUUUCUAUGAGAUGGUUUCUGUCAUUCUUCCUAAACUGGGAGCUAAGUGAUUAAUAUAGAGGAAAACUCACAGAUAAACAUAUCUCUGCAAAUGCAAAUAAGUACUAAAGUGCUGGUAACCAACAUCCCCACCCUGGUUCCUCUUAGCACUUCAGUCAAAGGCACACUUCGAACAGAAGAAUCUGAACCACAAAUUUAGCCAGUCUCUACUACCUUCAGAAAGGCUUCCAGAAGUCAUUUUCCUCCCAGACCUCCUAGAUUUCUAAUUUCUCUAUUCCUGCUAGGAGGGACACUACUACCCAAUCUAGGAGUAUCUUGGAAGAUUCAAGUGGGAAACCAUUCAGAUCUGUCUCUUCCCCUCAUCGCAUCAACAUUUUAAUCUGUCUCUACACAACGCAGGAUUCACAAGGGAAGUCUCAAAUCCCAUAGCGUUGCUUACAAGCAGCGUGACAACAAGGAUGAAGCCAGAGAGGCACCUAUGGUACAAAAUUUUAAAAGCAUGAAUUUCCCUCAACCUUAAGAAGAGAUGGAAUGUUCAUAAUGAGGAAGAAGUCUUCUGAUUUUCUAAAUAGGUAAUCACAACACAGAAGAGUGAAGAAGGACACAGGCUCUUAGCCACCAUGGCCUAAAACUGUCCCACACCUCUUCAACUCACAUCCUACUGUCCACAACCAGUCAUCAGUCAUGUGCAACGUUCACACAUAAAAGCCCUGGAAAAUGAAGGCCAGUGAUUUGCCUAGGAAAAGUAGAUGAAGAGAGCAGACUGGCCUUACCUUUGAAUAACCCUAAGCAAGUUAUCAACCUGUCUUAACCUACUUCUUCUUCUAAAAGAUGGGAAUAACAACACCAGCAUCCUUCUAGUGUGUGAAAGUUCAAACAAAAUGAAGCAAAAUCUUCACAGAGUAUCUGACAAUGGAAAUGAUGUUAGACAAAAAGUGAAUUCAGCAGUUUUCUUAUUUGAAUUCAAAAUGGGUCAUAAAGCAGUGAAGACAACUUGCAACAUCAACAAUACAUUUGGCCCAGGAACUACUAAUGAACCUACAGUAUAGUGGUGGUUCAAGAAGUUUCAUAAAGGAGACAGCCUUGAAGAUAAGGAGCACAGUGGUCGGCCAUUGAAGUUGACAACAACCAGUUGAGAGCAAUCAUCGAAGCAGAUCCUCUGACAACUACACGAGAAGUUGCCGAAGAACUCAUCGUUGACCAUUUUAUGAUUGUUCGGCAUUUGAAGCAAAUUGGAAAGGUGAAAAAGCUUAAUAAGUGGGUGUUAGGAUCACCUAAGCAGACCAUUCCCUUCCCCUCCCACAGGCCUUACAAUACAGUCUCUUGCGCUCUCCACACAGUCACCCCAGGGCAAAAGACAAACCCCCCACUUCACUGACCCCUCCACUAACUGUUUGUCCAGGCAGUUACAGGAUGCCAUUAACGUCUGUUCACCUCACAUAACAAAGCUGGCAAAAAACAUCUCCAGGAUGCGGACAAGACACUUGCAUCCCCGAAUCAGCUCCCCGACCCUGACCCAGUUCCUCAUCCUAUAAAGCCCUGCUGUAGUCUGUAAGUGUGGCUGCCUCCUCUGCUUUUGUCAGGAGGUAGCCCGGCAGGACUG
rnacentral:lncRNA from 1 species